CCUACGGGUGGCAGCAGUGGGGAAUAUUGCACAAUGGGGGAAACCCUGAUGCAGCAACGCCGCGUGAGUGAGGAAGUCUUUCGGUUUGUAAACCUCUUUCCGCAGGGUAUAGAAAAGAAGGUACCUGAAAAAGAAGCGCCUACUAACUACGUGCCAGCAGCCGCGGUAAUACGUAGGGGGCACGCGGUAUCCGGAUUUACUGGGUGUAAAGGGAGCGUAGACGGAAAGGCAAGGCUGAAGUGAAAACCCAAGGCUCAACCAUGGGACUGCUUUUGAAACUGUCAAGCUAGAGUACGGGAGAGGUAAGAGGAAUUCCUAGUGUAGCGGUGAAAUGCGUAGAUAUUAGGAGGAACACCAGUGGCGAAGGCGUCUUACUGGACCGAAACUGACGUUGAGGCUCGAAAGCGUGGGGAGCAAACAGGAUUAGAUACCCGGGUAGUC
rnacentral:rRNA from 1 species